UACAGGGGGUGCAAACGUUGCUCGGAAUUAUUGGGCGUAAAGCGCGCGUAGGCGGCUACUUAAGUCGGAUGUGAAAGCCCUUGGCUCAACUGAGGAAGUGCACCCGAAACUGAGUGGCUUGAGUACUAAAGAGGGUCGCGGAAUUCCCGGUGUAGAGGUGAAAUUCGUAGAUAUCGGGAGGAACACCGGUGGCGAAGGCGGGUCUCUGGGUAGUAACUGACGCUGAGGAACGAAAGCGUGGGUAGCGAACAGG
rnacentral:rRNA from 1 species